GGGAAAACAGAAACAUAUAGUUUUUGUAUAUUUUGCUUUGGUUUUUGUUUCUCCAUUCCGCAGGUCCUUUAGAUCAUACCUCGACUUUGAAGACAUUGGAGACCAGGCUGAGGUAGCGAGUCGUGUUAGCAUUUGUGACUUCUAGUCCAAGAGAAUCCAGUGCCUCCAUUAGCCUUGUGAAGCCUCCUGGUUUGUAUUCGCAAAUCACCUUUACGAAAAACUCUCUGCCAUCUAACUGAGCCACGUCCACCUGUGGCUGAAACUCCGCAACCCAACAUAAACCGAUAUCAUGAGGUUUUGAUUUUAGAGUUCAGAUUAGAAGAAAGGAACGUUGGAGUUACAUGAAAG